AACGAACGCUGGCGGUGCGUUUUAAGCAUGCAAGUUGAUCGGGAUCCAAGUGCUUGCACUUGGUGAGAGUAGCGGACGGGUGAGUAACACGUAGGUAAUCUACCCUUGUGUUGGGGAUAGCUCAUGGAAACAUGGGGUAAUACCGAAUACGAUUAACGGGACACAAGUUCUGUUAAGGAAAGGCGCCUUAAAGCGUCGCACAAGGAGGAGCCUGCGGCAGAUUAGCUAGUUGGUGGGGUAAAGGCCUACCAAGGCAACGAUCUGUAGCCGGCCUGAGAGGGUGAACGGCCACGCUGGGACUGAGAACGGCCCAGACUCCUACGGGAGGCAGCAGCUAAGAAUCUGCCGCAAUGGACGAAAGUCUGACGGAGCGACACCGCGUGAAUGAUGAUAGGCAGAGAUGUUGUAAAAUUCUUUUACCAGGGAGGAAUAAGGUAGGUAGGAAAUGAUCUGCUGAUGACGUUAUCUGGUGAAUAAGCCCCGGCUAAUUACGUGCCAGCAGCCGCGGUAACACGUAAGGGGCAAGCGUUGUUCGGAAUUAUUGGGCGUAAAGGGUGCGCAGGCGGAUUUCCAAGUCUGAUGUAAAAGGUGUGAGCUUAACUUGCACAGGCGUUGGAAACUGGAAAUCUGGAAUGGUUGAGGGGUAGCUGGAAUUCCUAGUGUAGAGGUAAAAUUUGUAGAUAUUAGGAAGAACACCGGAGGCGAAGGCGAGCUACUGGCAACCAAUUGACGCUGAGGCACGAAAGCGUGGGGAGCGAACAGGAUUAGAUACCCUGGUAGUCCACGCCGUAAACGAUGUACACUGGAUGUCGGAUUUAUUUCGGUAUCGAAGCUAACGCGAUAAGUGUACCGCCUGGGGAGUAUGCCCGGCAACGGUGAAACUCAAAGGAAUUGACGGGCCCCCGCACAAGCGGUGGAGCAUGUGGUUUAAUUCGAUGAUACGCGAGAAACCUUACCAGGUCUUGACAUAUACAGGAAUGUACAAGAGAUUGUGCAGCUCUUCGGAGCCUGUAUACAGGUGUUGCAUGGCUGUCGUCAGCUCGUGCUGUGAAGUGUUGGGUUAAGUCCCGCAACGAGCGCAACCCCUACUAUCUGUUGCCAGCAUGUAAUGAUGGGGACUCAGAUGGAACUGCCGAUGACAAAUCGGAGGAAGGUGGGGACGACGUCAAGUCAUCAUGGCCCUUACGACCUGGGCUACACACGUGCUACAAUGGCCAGUACAAAGUGCUGCGAACCCGCGAGGGGAAGCGAAUCGCAAAAAGCUGGUCUCAGUACAGAUUGGAGUCUGAAACUCGACUCCAUGAAGAUGGAAUCGCUAGUAAUCGCGCAUCAGCAUGGCGCGGUGAAUACGUUCCCGGGGGU
rnacentral:rRNA from 1 species